rnacentral:other from 1 species
GUUUCAAUCCUUUAAAAGUAAGAUACAAAC